UACGAAGGGGGCUAGCGUUGCUCGGAAUCACUGGGCGUAAAGGGCGCGUAGGCGGCCAUUCAAGUCGGAGGUGAAAGCCCAGGGCUCAACCCUGGAAUUGCCUUCGAUACUGUUUGGCUCGAGACCGGAAGAGGUAAGUGGAACUGCGAGUGUAGAGGUGAAAUUCGUAGAUAUUCGCAAGAACACCAGUGGCGAAGGCGGCUUACUGGUCCGGUUCUGACGCUGAGGCGCGAAAGCUAGGGGAGCAAACGGG
rnacentral:rRNA from 1 species